rnacentral:lncRNA from 1 species
AUUACUAGUGAUAAUUUCAGACCAUUAGACUUCAACGGACAAAACUUUCAGUCUCAAAUCUUUUUUUCUAUAUAAAGAAACUUUGUUACGAUCAAAAGAAAAUAAAUCGAGUCACAUCGGAACAAAAAUAAUUAAAAGAAAAAUUUGGAUUAAGCAUGGCGAGGAUCAAUAUCUUGGCGGUGAUAGUGGCGGCGUUUAUUAUGAUGGCUGCUUUUAUUUCACCGACGGUGGCGACUACAUACAUAGGGUAUCCAGCUAUUGGAAAAGGUCGUGGUAAAGGAAAUACGCCGCCCGGUGUCGCGAACCCGUACGAACGACCUUGCGGGACACCCGAGAAAUGCCGCGAGGAUUGAGGGAAUUAUUAGUUACUACACAAGAAAUUCUAUCCAAUAUUAUGAUCACUUCAAUUAUAAUAUGAUUCAUUGAUUUUCCUUUUUUUCCCCCAUAUAUAUAAUAUAUGGAGAUUGUUCAAUAUGAGCUAGGUGAAAUAAAAAUUCAUGCAUGCCCCUAUGUUAUAGUUUGUUUGUUCUUUUUGGAAGGCAUGAAGAAUUAGAUGUUAUAGUUUGUUUUAGUUUAUGUAAAAUUCAUUUUUCCCUAUAUGUAAAUGUAUUAAUUAAAUCUUUCAUGUUCUAUAAACAUUAAUUUAUAUUAUUUUAAUUGAAUCUUAUAGAUACAUAUGUAUGUAUUUUAUGUGGGAAAAUUACAUUUUUCGUUCUCAUAAUAUACCCACUUUUUCAACA